CCUUGGAGUGGGGAAUAACAGCUGGAAACAGCUGCUAAUACCGCAUGAUAUGUCUGUAUCACAUGGUACUGGACAUCAAAGAUCUAUCGCUCUGAGAUGGGCUCGCGUCUGAUUAGCUAGUUGGUGGGGCAACGGCCCACCAAGGCGACGAUCAGUAGCCGGACUGAGAGGUUGGCCGGCCACAUUGGGGACUGAGACACGGCCCAGACUCCUACGGGAGGCAGCAG
rnacentral:rRNA from 1 species